rnacentral:lncRNA from 1 species
GAUAAAGGAAGAAACUGAAGGCGCCUUGUCUCGACUCCAGCCAGCUUAGUUCUUUGGAGAAGCAGUGUGGAGUCCUAAAAAAGGAGGCUGAGUCUUACCGUUGAGGUCGGUGCCGGUAGAGAAUGGGAGGGAGUCUGCAGGAGCCAAGCACCCUAAAGAAGAGGAAGAGAGCACGUUGCUGAGAUUUGAACAGCGACCUGAGAGGUCAGACUGGACCCAGGCCUCCUCAAGAAGCAACGGAGAUGGAGAUUCUUCCCUUUUCCCGGCCCUUCGGUCCUUCUCCGGAAGAGCUACUCUGGCCAGCUCUGGGCUAGGGGCAGUGGCCGAAGAGAAGGGGAAAGUAAGGUUGAGAGCACUGGAUUCGAGCCCAGCAGAGAGCGGUUUCUAGGCCCCACCCACCCUCCCCCCAAGGUUUUCUUAAAAGUGAAUCUUGGCGUGGUUUUUGCAGACCAAACAUCAGAAACCCGGGAGAGGAAUCUAGAGAGUGCAUUUUGUUCUGUUUUGCUUUAAUAAUAAGUAGUGUGCCUUGUUAAACACCCUAUUACCCCCGCCCCCUUCUCCCACAACCUCUCUGGAGAAGAGUCUUUCCGGAGCGCCUAGAAACCUAAAAAUAACACGCCACGCUGAAGGUCCGGAGAAGCCACCGGCCACCUCUACAGAGUGGGGAUGCUGCCCGUGAAAGGUCAUCACUUUCUUCACCCCGACAACCUGACAACAAAGCCCAAGCAGUUGAUCCUUUCCUUCCUUUGAGCCCAGGAUCCAAGCCCGAAAUAGAUGGGGAGGCCCCAACCCUACAGCCAUGAGGAAAAAGUGGUUCCUCGGUGACCACCGUGGCCACCGUGGCCACCGUGACUAUCUUUCGAGUUAGAGCCUUUGGUCAAGUCUAGAUGUCACACUUUAAAUGCCUUCCAAUGUUCCCCUUCUCGAGUCUAAUUUUUGCAAAGAAAUGAGAUGGGACCAUCAGACUCUGCCUAUGUUGCUGCCAUCUGGUGUGCGAGCAGUCUCCAGCUUGUGCUCCAGCUUGUGCUGAGAAGCACGGCUGCAGUACCUUAGGGGUAAACCUAUGAUGCCAACCCCACUCACCUCCGCCAAUGUAAGUUCUUCCUCCCCUCCCCUGACAAUUCCAGCCUCGAUUAUCGGGUUAAAAAAAAUCGAAAAAACUCUUUAUAUAAAAACAAAACACGCUGAAUUUCAAAACGACCGCUCACCUCCUCUA